UCAGAUUCUGCUACUUGUUGUGGAUGUUCUGGUGCCUGAUGUGUUCCUCUGCUCUGUGAGCUUGGAUUUAUUGGACUUCCUCCUCCUGAAAUCACCUCAAGACCUCUUCUUGGCGAACAGGUGUGUGGGGUCGCGGCCCCUGAACCCGGGCUGGAUGUUGAACACCGGUGUGUUCCUCCAGCUGGACGGGUUGCUGAAGGCCGGGGCCUCGGGGCCCGCGGCGCAGGGUUUGUUCUGCAGCAGCUGCAGGAAGGCCUCCAUGUCGGGCCCCAGCCGAGCCACGAGCCCCGCCCUCACCGCCCUCACCGUCUGCUCGUCACACGACUGCAGGGUCUGCAGCAGUGUGCUGUAAUACCUGCAGAGCAACAGGAAGUCAGCGAUCAUCCUCUGGAAGAUGUUGCAGCGUCGGAUGGUUUGGAAAAUCUUCGUUGAGAUUCCCUGAGAGAUGCAGUGCAGACUCUUCUUCACAAAGG